rnacentral:rRNA from 1 species
UAGCGUAUAUUAAAGUUGUUGCGGUUAAAAAGCUCGUAGUUGGAUUUCUGCUGAGGACGGUCGGUCCGCCUUUUGGGCGUGUAUCUGAUUCGGCCUUGGCAUCCUCUCGAAAAACGUUGCUGCGCUUGACUGCGUGGUGCGGAGUUCGAGACUUUUACUUUGAGGAAAUUAGAGUGUUCACGGCAGGCUUCCGCCUUGAAUAUAUUAGCAUGGAAUAAUAAUAUAGGAUCUUGGUUCUAUUUUGUUGGUUUCUAGAGCUAAGUUAAUGAUUAAUAGGGACAAUUGGGGGCAUUCGUAUUAACGCGUC